rnacentral:tRNA from 1 species
GCGCCCGUAGCUCAGCUGGAUAGAGCAACGGCCUUCUAAGCCGUAGGUCACAGGUUCGAAUCCUGUCGGGCGUACCA